CUGCCGGUGGGAUUCGUGGUUAAUCUCAGGGCCAAGCCAACCAAUUAACUAUUGGUUUUCGAGUUUGCACUUUGAAUUCAAAUUCCGAGGGACUUCAGAUUGGGGACACUACGGAACUUUGGGAUCCUGUCCGAUCGGAUGUCGUCCCCAAUCAUGUUUAUCACGGGGCUCCUGAACCGGUCAGAAGGAACCGCCUGACCCGAUGAUGACCCGGUUCGAAUAAACAUCCGUGGUGGAGCUCACCGCGGUCACUCAAGGGCCUGUAGCUCAGUUGGUUAGAGCGCACGCUUGAUAAGCGUGAGGUCAGGAGUUCGAAUCUUCUCAGGCCCACCACGCGAUUGGCGCCGCGACCGAAUGGGCGGGUAUUGUUAUAGGCCGAACCGGGACCGUAGCUCAGGCGGUAGAGCCACCUGCUUUGCAAGCAGGAGAUCGUCGGUUCGAGCCCGACCGGUUCCACCAAUCAGGGUGACGCGAGGCGGUACUUUGUAGCUCGUGUUGGAAUACACCGUGACAAAGCCAGGUAAGCGCGCCUGUUAAAUGUCUGGUCACCGUGCAGAUGGGUAUAGGUCUCCGCGUUGCCAGCAAGGCCGAGCGUGCAUUGUCGCGUCAUCUUGUAGGCGGGUCGGAGCUUAAGGAUGUUAUUGGGAAUGGCGGGCAGAAAGGCGCAUGGUUGGACGGUGAUGACGCAGCCGACCGCAGAAGGAUUGUGCCAACUGACCAGACAGCGGCUCUGGUAAGUCGGCUCAAGACGCGAGAAGGUGAAAUACGCGUCCCAGCGCCAUUCGUUGAUCUUAACCGCCAGAUCGAAGCAAUGUCGUAGAACGCUGCGGAUAUUGGCAGAAUCUCGCGUAUAUUGGCCGAAAUGGGUCGACUGUAGAAACUCGAUGUAGUUGUAUGCACGGCAUUAUAGUAAUUGACUUUGUACGUCAGCGUGCCAUUGUCCGGCAACAGGGAGGUGCAGCCAAGACGGGCUUGCGAGCGUGUGG
rnacentral:tRNA from 1 species